rnacentral:rRNA from 1 species
UACGGAGGGUGCAAGCGUUGUCCGGAUUUAUUGGGUUUAAAGGGUGCGUAGGCGGCCCGUUAAGUCAGCGGUGAAAUCCCACGGCUCAACCGUGGAACUGCCGUUGAUACUGGCGGGCUUGAGUUCGGUCGAGGCGGGCGGAACUGGUGGUGUAGCGGUGAAAUGCAUAGAUACCACCAAGAACCCCGAUUGCGUAGGCAGCUCGCUGGGCCGAAACUGACGCUGAGGCACGAAAGCGUGGGGAGCGAACAGG